rnacentral:misc_RNA from 1 species
GAUGAAGAACGAAGCGAAAUGCGAUAAGUAAUGUGAAUUGCAGAAUUCAGUGAAUCAUCGAAUCUUUGAACGCACAUUGCGCCCGCCAGUAUUCUGGCGGGCAUGCCUGUUCGAGCGUCAUUUCAACCAUCAAGCCCUGCUUGCGUUGGGGUCCUGCGGCUGCCCGCAGGCCCUGAAAACCAGUGGCGGGCUCGCUAGUCACACCGAGCGCAGUAAUACAUCUCGCUUUGGGCGUGCGGCGGGUUCUUGCCGUUAAACACCCCCUUUUUACCAAGGUUGACCUCGGAUCAGGUAGGAAUACCCGCUGAACUUAAGCAUAUCAAUAAGCGGAGGA